CCCGAGGUGCGCCCUGCCCGGUCUGCGGCUCUGAGUUCUCCCGCGGCGGACCUGGCAGGACACUCCAGCCCAGGAAGAAACCAGUAGGAGUAGGAGCGAAGUCUCUUGCAAGGUGAACAAUGAGUGGAAUGCAGUGCACUGAACAAGUGUUUGGGGCUCCUCGUCUCCUUUUUUCUCAAACUUCAACUUGGCUGUUGAAAAUAAAAUAAUGAAGGCAGCA